rnacentral:rRNA from 1 species
UACGUAGGGUGCAAGCGUUUGUCCGGAAUUAUUGGGCGUAAAGAGCUCGUAGGCGGUUUGUUGCGUCGGCUGUGAAAUCCCCGAGGCUCAACCUCGGGUCUGCAGUCGAUACGAGCAAACUAGAGUGUUGCAGGGGAGACUGGAAUUCCUGGUGUAGCGGUGAAAUGCGCAGAUAUCAGGAGGAACACCGGUGGCGAAGGCGGGUCUCUGGGCAACAACUGACGCUGGAGGAGCGAAAGCGUGGGGAGCGAACAGG